UUACACUUCAGGUUAUUAUUAUUAUUAUUAUUAAUAAUAUAUUAUCAUUAUAAUGAAACUAUAUGAAAAAUAUUAUUGCUUACUGGCCAGGCAUAAUAAUUAUUACGUAUAGCCUACUGGUUACUAAAGUAAAAAAUAUAUAAUUUACAAUACAAAAACUAUUAUAGGUAGGCUAAAGCACGAUUUAGAUGAAUGGCACGUGACGUCACACAACGUCGACUCGAGUCGUGACGUUCACCGCGACUUCACCAUUCCUUGAAAGUUUGAUUCACGUGGAAAAACUUCAGAAAAUAGCUUAAACAAUUAUAGACGUUAUGUAUUUCACAGAUUCGGAAAUAAGUCACACAAGAGAUGAAUGAAAUGCAAAGGAUAAAGAGAAGUGCAUCAAACACAGAGACCUCUUUGGCAUGACAAUUGGAAUCCAGUUCCCAGGAUGCCCUGCAUGGCUGCUGCUCACUGACGGCGUCUGGACAGCAGGGGAGGACAAAGUCUUCCUCCAGGGGACUCGGACGCUUCCAGCUGGGACGCCGAGGUGUGGAGCUGGCCUCGGGGUAAGCCCCUUGUUUGGGAGGUACAAUGCAGCAGUGGAC